UCCUCAGUAUCUCUGUGGUAGAGCGGUCGGCUAUUAAUGAUUGGCCGUAGGUUCAAAUCCUACUUGGGGAG
rnacentral:tRNA from 1 species